rnacentral:rRNA from 1 species
CAGCAGCCGCGGUAACACCAGCACCUCGAGUGGUCAGGAGGUUUAUUGGGCCUAAAGCAUCCGUAGCCGGUUGCAUAAGUUUUCGGUUAAAUCUAUGCGCUUAACGUAUAGGCCGCCGAAAAUACUGUGCAGCUAGGGAGUGGGAGAGGUACACGGUACUCGAUAGGAAGGGGUAAAAUCCUUUGAUCUAUUGAUGACCACCUGUGGCGAAGGCGGUGUACCAGAACACGUUCGACGGUGAGGGAUGAAAGCUGGGGGAGCAAACCGGAUUAGAGACCCGAGUAGUCCCUGUCUCUUAUAU